AGAGCGAACGCUGGCGGCAGGCCUAACACAUGCAAGUCGAACGGACCCUUCGGGGUUAGUGGCGGACGGGUGAGUAACACGUGGGAACGUGCCUUUUGGUUCGGAAUAGCUCCUGGAAACGGGUGGUAAUGCCGAAUGUGCCCUUCGGGGGAAAGAUUUAUCGCCAUUAGAGCGGCCCGCGUCUGAUUAGCUAGUUGGUGAGGUAAUGGCUCACCAAGGCGACGAUCAGUAGCUGGUCUGAGAGGAUGACCAGCCACAUUGGGACUGAGACACGGCCCAAACUCCUACGGGAGGCAGCAGUGGGGAAUCUUGCGCAAUGGGCGAAAGCCUGACGCAGCCAUGCCGCGUGAAUGAUGAAGGUCUUAGGAUUGUAAAAUUCUUUCGCCGGGGACGAUAAUGACGGUACCCGGAGAAGAAGCCCCGGCUAACUUCGUGCCAGCAGCCGC
rnacentral:rRNA from 1 species